rnacentral:lncRNA from 1 species
GCCCCCGCCUGCCCCGCCCGGCGCCGCACCACGUGGGCCAGGCGCCCCACGCCUGGAGCUCCCCUCUCUGGAGCCCCGGGAAAGGAAGCGGGGCAGGGAGGCCGGGUGGGAGCAGGGGGGUCUCCGGCGCUUCCUCUCCUCUGCGGGCGCCGCGCGGCUCCUGAGAGUCCGCCCCCCGUCCUGACGCUCAGCUAGGAAGCGGGUCCUCGGGCCCCUCCCCCGACACACACACACACACACACACACACACACACACACACACACACUCUCUCUCUCUCUCUCUCUCUCUCUCUCUCUCUCUCUCUCUCUCACACACACACACACACACACAGCCCGUCUCGCGCCUGAGGUCUCGCCCGCAGGCCGGUGGCGCGGGGUCAGCUGCUGCCUGCGGUCCAGGACAGGGUCGGUUCCGCCGCGCAGCGCCCAGGCCCAGCUCGUCCAGAGUCUGCGGACAGCGCACGUCCAGACAUCGCCCACUCGGGCUCACAGUGCCAUCCGGGUGAGGACCUCCGUGGAGAGCUCUCUUUGCCAAAGAAAAGCAGUUGCAUUAGGUCUGCGAGCAGGCAGGGUGGCCUCUUCCUGGCUCCCCAUCCACCAAGGAAGCUUCAAGUCCCUGGGACACAGGCACUUUCCCACACAGGAUGGAGCCGGGCCACCCUCACAGCUCCUGCCCUGCAGACGCUGGCCUUGUGGAGGGAGGCAGGCAGCAGGAGCAGUGCUUUCUGGGCCUCUGUAGCCAGAGCUGGCCCUGCUGCAGCUUACGUCUGCCUGCAGCCCAGACGUCCUCCUGGUCCUCCUGAUGCCCCCGACCUCCACGGAGGACGAGCAUUUCCAGCCCAGCCCUCCCCAUCUUCACCUCGCACUCCCCUGACACACUGGGAGCCUCCUGAUCCGUGAACCCGCGCUGGCGGGAGUAGCUACUGACCGCUGGGGACCCCUGCCCAGGCUGUUCGCAUGUGGAAAGGAUUCAGGGAGCAGGCGAUGCCCAAAGCGUGGAGACCAGCACUGCUCUCUCCCCAGUGACAGGUGCACGCCCAGAUCACGGAUGUGUCGGGAACAGCUGUGCUCCUGCUGCUCAGCGUCCGUCACUCCAGGCUGGGAGCGGGUCCCCAAGCUUCUGGCUGGGCCUAUCCGUCUCCACUCUCAGUGUGGGGGUGGGGGGCGCCAACAGCACGCAUUUGCUCUCUGCACUUCUCGUCUGAUAAUGGGCAGAGGGUCCUUCUGCAGCCCCAAAACAUCCCUAGGCAGGAGCCCUGGGGCCCCAAGCAGCCAGGGAGGUGAGCACCAAGGACCUCCCAGAGAGCGUCACCUUCCGUCGAGGGAGGCCCAGCCUGGGGGCGGUGUCUGAGACUUGGAAUCAACGCUUCCGUUGGUGGCAGUAAAUCCUGUCCCUAACCCUGCAGUACAGCUGUGCCGUGUACAGGAGGGUGCUGUCUGACGCCAGACACCUGGACUACAGAUCGCAGCCUGAUUCCUGGUCAUUGCUCCACUGAACCCCAGACCCCAGCCUCGUUCUGGGCCCUCAUCCCCUAGAUCCAGGGACCCCAGCCCCAUUUCAGCCCUUGGGCCCUUGUAGGAUGCGAGGCCCUGGGCCCCAGCCCCCAGCCCAUCCGUGGCCCAGGCACUGGGGGGCUGAGGUCCUCUGAGAAGGGACACAGGGCCUGGGGGGCUCUCUCAGCCCAUCAGCAGGAGAGGACUGACUCCAGAAAAAUCAGCGUUUGUACCCACUCAGGCUGCCAAGACCUGUGUCCGUCCUUCCAAGCUCAACCUUCAGAGUUCAUGAGGCCCCUUGCCCAGAAUGUCCACAGAGUUCAUGAGGCCCCUUGCCCGGAAUGUCCACAUUUGAAACCUCCCAACACCGAGCCCCAUUUCAAGUAUAACCAGGAGGGAAAAUGGUGCUUGAAAUAAGCAUGCCACAAAGGAAAACCUGCUUUCUCGAAAUGGGCCCUGGCCGCCCAGGCCCUGACCUCCCCGGCCAGGAUGGAACGUUCCAGAGACCCAUUAGUGCCAAAGGCAAAUGAAAACACACCCUGUGAAAAUGUC